CAGCACCUCAAGUGGUCAGGAUGAUUAUUGGGCCUAAAGCAUCCGUAGCCUGCUUUGUAAGUUUUCGGUUAAAUCCAUACGCUUAACGUAUGGGCUGCCGGGAAUACUGCAGCGCUAGGGAGUGGGAGAGGUAGACGGUACUCGGUAGGAAGGGGUAAAAUCCUUUGAUCUAUUGAUGACCACCUGUGGCGAAGGCGGUCUACCAGAACAUGUCCGACGGUGAGGGAUGAAAGCUGGGGGAGCAAACCGGAUUAGAUACCCGAGUAGUCC
rnacentral:rRNA from 1 species